rnacentral:rRNA from 1 species
AUUGCACGCUGGCGGCAGGCCUAACACAUGCAAGUCGAGCGAGCGGCGGACGGGUGAGUAAUGCCUGGGAAUUGCCCAGUCGAGGGGGAUAAAAGUUGGAAACGACUGCUAAUACAGCAUAAGAGUGGAUUGCCCAGGUGGGAUUGGCUAGUUGGUGAGGUAAGGGCUCACCAAGGCGACGAUCCCUAGCUGGUCUGAGCGGAGGAUCAGCCACACUGGAACUGAUACACGGUCCAGACUCCUACGUGAGGCAGCAGUGUGGAAUAUUGCACAAUGGGUUAAACCCUGAUGCAGCCAGGCCGCGUGUGUGAAGAAGGCCUUCGGGUUGUAAAGCACUUUCAGCGAGGAGGCGUUACUCGCAGAAGAAGCACCGGCUAACUCCGUGCCAGCAGCCGCGGUAAUAC